AGCGUGAAAUGGGAGGAUCCCCCGGAUGACCAAAAUAAGGUUGUGGAGAAUAUGAAGGAUGAAACAGAGACACAUGAGACCAACAAGAACAGGACAGGAGGCAAGAGUCUUCUCAGACACCCGGGUGUGGUUUCCGGGAAAGGGGAUCUAUCAUUGAGCAGCUGGAGAAGGAGGCUCAGAGGACUCUAAUGCCUUCUCUCAAGAUUGGGACAUGCUGUGCCCCAAUCCUCCUCUCCUUCCUGAGGAGUCUAACUGAUGAGCAAGUCCCAUGUCUUUUUCCAACCUCACAUACAACAACUCUGAAUUUAUAGUCAUAGUGCACCUUCUAACCACAAAUGGGAUUUCAAACACUACACCUAACCCUAACAUCACUGUAACCACACCCCUAACUCUUCCUGUAAAUCAAGAACAAAAUGUCUCAUGUACUUGCUAAUAGCUUAAUUAAAUACACUUUUAUUUUCCCUGACAUGGCUAUCUAGUGACUCCACUAACUCAACAUCAGUGUGCAGGUAAAAUAUGUUUCCUUUCUUUUCUUUUCUCUAGCCAAUGGAGGGUGAUUCAGCAUGGCAUGAAAAAUAACCUCACAUUCGAGCAGCUCUCCACGCUGUGUCUGAAGAUUGUUAAAGUCGUGACCCAGACAGCCCUCCGCAUUCUCCUACCAGCGCUAGCUCGUAUCAUGGGGGUGAACCUGAGGAGUGGGGCAACCUCCCCAGAAUCCCAGUGCUCUCUGACAGGGUCUGAGGAUUCCUUAGGCAGUCUGGAUGAGAGAGAGAAAAGGCUGCUGAUCAGUGAGAUGAACUACUGGACUAAGGAGAGGAGGAGGAAUGGCAGUGCAGGGUGCCGCCAAAAAUCCACUCGCAGAACCUCAUCACCAUGCUGUUCGCCUAAGAGCGUUCCAAGAGAGGAAACAAAAAGGACUGCCAUUCAGUCCAGGAACAGACUGAGAUUCCCUCUACUGGUGCACAUUGCAUAGUUCCCGUUGGAGAGGUUUCUCCCUCCAUAUCUCAGCCUGUCAAAAAACGAUCCUUGAUUGUCAGGGUCUUUUCAGCAAUGAUGAAGCCAUUCAGGCGCUUCAUCAAGAAGAACCUGUAACCUGUUACGCUGCAUGAAGAACUACUUUUGUAACAGCAAGACUUUUGACAAGAGGAAUUUCUGCAUGUCUACCCUUUCAAAGUCUAUUUGGUCAAAUAAAUGCAAAUUAUUUUACAAGAAUUUCAAGUGUUUUGGAAGAUUGGUAAUACUGAAGCAGAUUUUCUCAGAGAAAUGCACUAGUUCCUCCUUGGUUACAUAUUUAUUGUGCAGUUUUUUGAGUUGGCAGGACUUGGGGCAGCAGGUAGCCUUGUGGUUAGAGCGUUGGGCCAGUAACUGAAAGGUUGCUAGGUCAGAUCCCUGAGCUAACCAUGUAAAAAUAUGACGUUCUGCUCCUGAAC
rnacentral:lncRNA from 13 species